AAAUGUCUCCAGUAGGGAGAGCGCAUAGGUUUUGAGCUGCAUUGGGCGAACGCAGCUUCCUUCAAUUAGAAACAUGAGCUGAGAAAAUACUCCGUUUUUCAGACUUGUGCUACAUGGGUUCAUCAGGAGGUUGUGGUGUGCAAUAAGAAGUACGGGCACCAUGCAGGAAAACUGUGACUUGCCAGCAUCCUGUAUUGGAGAGGAUCAACAGAAAAGAUGAUGAAACAGAACAAAGGAGGGGACCUGGACUCCAAACGGCAUUUCCCAUGUGCCUGAGCCUAGUGCAAGACACAUCGUGUGAAAGAGCUUCAUGGAAUCAGCAGAAAAUAUGGAAAGUAUGAGGAUCUUUUCUCAGUGUUAUAACAAUACAGGAUAAUCCCCAACUGUUUUACUAAGGUUGGUAAAUAUUUAAACUGUUUGCCGGGGUGUAAACUUUUGGUUAUUGCUCUAGCAGUAGAGGAGAGUUUUGUUUUGUUGUUGCUUGCAUCUCUUCAGUCCAUUACAUCAUGAGAUCAUUUGUUUGAAAGUUUGAUUAGGGGUCUCAGAAAAUCCACAAGAAUGCACAAAAUUGUCCGUCCUUUUUGGCCUGGCACAUAGUGAAUAAAGGCAGAAAAAAGAAAGCAAUGGGUGAAAGGAAUGUAAUCAUGGCGUGUUCAUGGAUGUCAGUGCACUGAAAGAUCUUUUUAAAAUCCCAUCCGAUGAGUCUCCCAGACCACUCUAGUAAAGUAGAAAAUGGGAAAUGUUAUACU